GCUAGAGAUGCUCUCAACCAAUUUUUGAAGGAAGCCAUGACGGAUAGCCUCACACAAAAAUUCUCUUGGACUGGAAAGACUGUUUCAGAUAAAGAGAAUCUGCGACCGUUAUUUAAUACCUGUAUCGGAAAGGUAUUUUUUGAUGCCUUACGUGAGUGUCGAACAAUACCACAGCCACAUGAUCGUACAGAAUUUGCGAGACUGAUGCAAGAGGCAAUUCGGGGCGCA